rnacentral:misc_RNA from 1 species
CGCCAAUGUUGGUGAUAACAGCAUCGAUAUUUUUUCAAUGUCAUUGAAAAAGGAUAAGCAUAAAAACCUCUUAUUUUUUAGCAUAGCCUUACUUUCGAAUCAUUGCUUCACCGAUAGAAGCAAGAUUAAACCCAAGUUGGUUUAAGCACUUGGCUAAACGAGAGGCAUAUUUCUCCCAAGCCAGAUGUAGCAUGCACGUAGAAAAAAAAGAAAAUUCUCUUACAACGUUAAUCUUAUAUACCCAUUUGAGCUACUGAGGUCUG